ensembl:rRNA 5S_rRNA 5S ribosomal RNA
GUCUAUGGCCAUACCACCCUGAACACACCUGAUCUCAUCUGAUCUCGGAAUCUAAGUAGGGUCGGGCCUGGUUAGUACUUGGAUGGGAGCCAAAUAGAUUCCUGACACAACAGGGAAGGCAUAUGUUUGCUGUUGCCC